rnacentral:rRNA from 1 species
CGGGUGAGUAAUGCCUAGGAAAUUGCCCUGAUGUGGGGGAUAACCAUUGGAAACGAUGGCUAAUACCGCAUGAUGCCUACGGSCAAAGAGGGGGACCUUCGGGCCUCUCGCGUCAGGAUAUGCCUAGGUGGGAUUAGCUAGUUGGUGAGGUAAGGGCUCACCWAGGCGACGAUCCCUAGCUGGYCUGAGAGGAUGAUCAGCCACACUGGAACUGA